rnacentral:rRNA from 1 species
AGUGAACGCUGGCGGUAGGCCUAACACAUGCAAGUCGAACGGCAGCACAGUAAGAGCUUGCUCUUACGGGUGGCGAGUGGCGGACGGGUGAGGAAUACAUCGGAAUCUACUUUUUCGUGGGGGAUAACGUAGGGAAACUUACGCUAAUACCGCAUACGACCUACGGGUGAAAGCAGGGGAUCUUCGGACCUUGCGCGAUUGAAUGAGCCGAUGUCGGAUUAGCUAGUUGGCGGGGUAAAGGCCCACCAAGGCGACGAUCCGUAGCUGGUCUGAGAGGAUGAUCAGCCACACUGGACAUGAGACACGGUCCAGACUCCUACGGGAGGCAGCAGUGGGGAAUAUUGGACAAUGGGCGCAAGCCUGAUCCAGCCAUACCGCGUGGGUGAAGAAGGCCUUCGGGUUGUAAAGCCCUUUUGUUGGGAAAGAAAAGCAGCAGGUUAAUACCCCGCUGUUCUGACGGGACCCAAAGAAUAAGCACCGGCUAACUUCGU